UAGAUAGAUGAGUCAAUGUAUUGUUAUUGAGAAGAAUUAUCAAGAGGAAAAGGUAGCCUUUUCCCUGUAUGUCCUCAGGUUCUCAAUUAAUCACCGAGGUUGUGAUAUUUGCCACGAACAAGAUCUAAAGAUACAAAAUGCCUCUUGUGCUCUGCGAAGAGAAAGAAAGUAAAUAGCAUGUGAAGAUUAGACAAAAAUACUUACAGGAUGAUCAAAGUGGAGAAGGGAGGGAUCCCUGUUCUUGUUUGCCCUCAUUCUACUGACUUCUCAAGUUCCUUGCUGGGCAGGGUUAUAAAACAUGCCGUGUCAUCUGAGUUCACGGGUUUGUAACAAGGAUGACCCCAGAGGGCUUCCCUUUUGUCCAGGGGCCCCUGGCUGUCACACACCAGUAGGUGGAGGUCCUUGUUCACAUCCAGACCUGGUGACAGGUACUCUCUGACUUACUGAGCUUCUUAGGAUUUGGAGGGUCAUUCCUGGCUGCCCAGAAUUUUCUUCCAGGCUUUGCCUGCCUUGUAGAAAUAACAUCAGCGUGAAUAUUUUCAAAUGGUUUUGUCAUUUUACACGUUGCAGAUUGUUCAGGCGAGUGCAAUAUAAGGAAUGGAAAAUACUGGAAAUAGUUCCCUGAAAUAGAACAAAGGAUAAUUCUGACAUCAUAAAUGAUGUGGAUUACAUAGUUGGUGAACGGCUGAUGAGUCGCUGCUACUUGAAAGGAUGUGAACAGCAUCGAAGAAACUUGUGUCUGAAACCAACACGGUGCCUACAUUGAUCAGCCGAAAUUAAGUGGAGAGUCAACCAGAAGAUUGACAACACAGGCAGAGGAGGAUCUAAGAGGAAAGGACCAAUUUCUACUGCAGCAAGAAUGUCAGUGACUGGGACAAGCCCUCACAAGUUUUCUGUGCCUAAGCUCCAGAAUGUCCUUCACUGAGGUCUGUCGGUCACAACAUGUUGGAUGUUGGGAUGCAGUCGGGAUUCCUGCUCACUAUGAAAAAGCCUCUAAGUGGCUUCCCCAAAACAGCUAGCAUGUUCUUCUCUCAUCUCCCUCGCCAAUUGCUGCUGUCCCUUCAAGUCUCCUCUCCAUUUGAGGAAGGGUCGAUUUGCUUCUUGACAUUCCCAGAGCACUGGCCUCUCAGCCUGUCUCUGGCCCCUGAGCCCUCCCAGGUGCGCAGUAGGAUGUGAGACCCCUGGAAGCCUGGCCUCCUGUGGAGCAUCUGACAGCCAAGGGAUGCUCAGUCAGCGUGAGGAUAGCAGGUGGACAACUCAGAAACCAC
rnacentral:lncRNA from 1 species